GCCUGGGUGGCUCAGUCGGUUGAGCGUCUGACUUUGGCUCAGGUCAUGAUCUCACAGUUCGUGGGUUCGAGCCCCGCAUCUGUGCU
rnacentral:tRNA from 1 species